GAUGAGGGAUUUAAGUCGGUUAUCGACAAACAUGCUGACUGGAUUAUUGAUCAAGGCUUACUUCCUACAAAAACAAAAUUGGAGAAGAAAGAUAAAGUAGCUACAUACCUGCUGAAAAACACUUUACUACAGAUUCCAUGCUGAAAUUACCCAAUUUGUUAAUGGACUGGAUAAAGUGGGUUUGUUGCACAAAGGGAUCCUCCAUGCACCUGAAGCAUUUUCUAGUCUGUUUGUUCACCAAGCUGUUCAUCUAAAGUUUGACACAUUCAGAUUAUUGUAUGAAGUGAACUUCAGUCCAGAGGGUUCCAAUAACCAAAGGUUGGAGAAGGAUACAGUAUACUGCUUGGAGGCAUUCUUGAUUGAAUGUGAUGGCAAAGAAAGUGACAUAGCCUUGGCAGAUGUACUGAUGUUUUGGACAGGAGCAAGUUCUGUGCCCCCGAUGGGGUUUGACAAAAAACUUGAAGUGGACUUUGUUACGGGUGAUAGAAAACUGCCUGUAGCCCAUACCUGUGGCAUGGUUUUAGAACUUGUACGUGGGUUAGCUGAUCCUGAUUUAUUCAAGGAGGAUAUGGUGAAAGCUAUUGAGUGGAGUGGAGGAUUCCACUUAUGUUAAAUGCAUCAAUGUACAAUCAGAUCUGAAGCCAUCUAUUAGUUUACAAUCAAACAGUUGCAAUACUUUAACUCAAGAUUCUACCUACUGCUCUUGUUUCAGGCCAGUAUGCAACAUUUAAAUGUUUAGGUCAUUGGAUCACCACAAUACUAAAGUAAAGGAAUGGCACAUAGCACAUCAUAAAGCAUGUCUCAUUAUAGUUAUGAAUGAACAUUCUUCUGUCUUUUCAUGCUGUAUGCUGUAAAUCUUACUAUUUUGAUUGCUUUUGUUUAAGAUAGGCCCACACACACACUAAAUUAAAUACCUUUAUGUUCUGCAGUGCAUGCAGUUGAAAACUUUACACUAUCCCAUACUGUAGGUAGAAUCGCAUACUUUAUGGAAAUUUUAGUUAUUGGGUGGCAUGAAAAUUGAGAUUGUUGUUACAUAUCACUAGCACUUGGGAACCUUUUUCAAAGUCAAGGUUAAAGCUUUUGAGGCAGGAUAGCAUAUGUCAUUAUACCCCAACAAACAAAGUUUGAGAUAGGGUACAUGUAUAUAGGAGUUGUUGAUCAGUCAGUCUGUUGGUCAGUUAGCAAGAAUUAUGUUGAGUGAACUAAACUGGACAUUUCUUAAGAUAUUUACUUAAAACUUCGUGUACAGGAUCAUAAUUGAGUGGAGAUGUGCAUGAUAGAAUUUGGUAUGGUUCAGCUUAUUUAUCCCCGGCCACAAGUGAUGGGGGGUUAUAGGAAUGGUCUCCGUCCGUCCGUCCGUCUGUCCAUAACACUUCCGUGUCCGCUCCAUAUCUCCUAAACCCCUUGAAGGAUUUUCAUGAAACUUGGGUCAAAUGAUCACCUCAUCAAGACAAUGUUCAGAACCCAUGAGUCAGCCAUGUCGGCUCAAGGUCAAGGUCACAACUGAAGGUCAAAGGUUUGAGCUUUCCAUUUUGUGUCUGCUCUAUAUCUCCUAAACCCCUUGAAAGAUUUUAAUAAAACUUGGGUCAAAUGAUCACCUCGUCAAGACGAUGUGCAGAACCCAUGAGUCAGCCAUGCCGGCUCAAGGUCAAGGUCACAACUGAAGGUCAUAGGUUUGAGUCUUCCAUUUUGUGUCCGCUCUAUAUCUCCUAAACCCCUUGAAGGAUUUUGAUAAAACUUGGGUCAAAUGAUCACCUCAUCAAGACGAUGUGCAGAACCCAUGAGUCAGCCAUGCCGGCUCAAGGUCAAGGUCACAACUGAAGGUCAAAGGUUUGAGCCUUCCAUUUUGUGUCCACUCUAUAUCUCCUAAACCCCUUGAAGGAAUUUCAUAAAACUUGGGUCAAAUAAUCACCUCGUCAAGACGAUGUGCAGAACCCAUGAGUCAGCCAUGCCGGCUGAAGGUCAAGGUCACAACUCAAGGUCAAAGGUUUGAGUCUUCCAUUUUGUGUCUGCUCUAUAUCUCCUAAACCCCUUGAAGGAUUUUCAUCAAACUUUGGUCAAAUGAUCACCUCAUCAAGGCGAUAUGUAAAACUCAUGAGUCAGCCAUGCCGGCUGAAGGUCAAGGUCAGAACUCAACGUCAAAGGUUUUAGUCUUCCAUUUCGUGUCUGCUCUAUAUCUCCUAAACCCCCUUCAAGGAAUUUUAUAAAACUUGGGUCAAAUGAUCACCUUAUCAAAUUGAUGUGCAGAACUUAAGAGUCAGCCAUGCUGGCUCAGGGUCAAGGUCACAGCUUAGGGUCAAAGGUUUGAGCCUUCCAUUUUGUGUCCACUCUAUAUCUCCUAAACCCCUUGAAGGAUUUUCAUCAAACUUGGGUCAAAUGAUCAUCUCAUUAAGAGCUCAUGAGUCAACCAUGUCAACUUAAGGUCAGGGUCAUAACUCAAGGUCAAAGGUUUGAGCUCUGUAUCUCCUAAACCCCUUGAAGGGUUUUCAUGAAACUUGGGUCAAAUGAUCACCUCAUCAAGAUGUCGUGCAGAAUCCAUGAGUCAGUCAUAUCAGUUCAAGGUCAAGGUCACAGCUAAAGGUCAAAGGUUUACCAUUUCACUAUCCAUAAUAGUGGUGGGGGAUUUAGCUGUCUUUCAGACUGCCUUGUUCCUGGUAUAGUUUCCCUUGGACUUAAUUAACUCAUUCUGCCCGCGCGACGCAUAAAUGUGUCGAUCAAUUUUUAUCAGAAUACCGCGUGCCGCUUAUAUGCGGUGUUGUUAUCUACAUUUGGAAACCGCACGCCGCGUACAUGCGUCUUUACAGUAAUAGCUCUGAAUUCCGCAUGACACAUUCAGUCGUCACAUUUCAUUGGUAUUAAAUAAAAUCUCUUAGUUCUUUGUAACAAGUCGGACCAAUCAAAUUUUUUGUCGCUUAACAUUUUUAAAACAUAUAUAAAACCGUAUGUUGUGAAAAAACAAAUGCUUUGGUUAAAGAAAGCUGUAAAAGCGAGCGUCGUUCGAGUUAUAAUUUGUGAUUUCUCGAAGCCUGAAAAUUAUGGAUGAUUCUUUAUAUGAUUGAAACAUAUAAAAAAUGAAUAAAUAGAUAUCAGCAAAUAUUCAUUGAGAAAUGACAAUUGAAAUAAUGCAACCCAAAAGUAUAUACUUUUUCGCUCGUCGCUAUGCGGCAAAUAAUGCCAUAUGCGGGAUCAAACAAUUUUACGGCUAAAUGAGUUUAUUCUCAUUACUAUAAAAUUAUCAUUAAACAUCGUGCCAGAAUUUCAUUUAAAUCUGUCAAAAUUUAACAGAGAUAAAUAUAAAAACAUAGCUAUGGAGCUAGAAAUGGCGUUGUCUAUAUUCUUUAUAAGUACGGUUCUAAACAUUUGAGUGCAGAAAAAAGUUGAAUUAUAAAUGAUCGGGUAUUGUUAUAAAAAAUACCCUUCAGUAAGACAGACGUACAUAAUUACCGCACAAAAAUAACUUGUAAGUAUCAUACCGAAAUGCAAAACCAAACAAAAAGUGGUAGAAUUGUGGAUUAUAUCAUUGAAAAGAAAAGAACUCAAAUAUUUUCUUUUACAUGUAAGAUUAAACUAUCUUCAACUCGUUCACACCAGAUCUUUAAUUUUUACCUAUGCGAUAUAAAAUGCUUAUGUGUGUAUGAAAAGUAAAAACAUCUUUGUUGGUAUCUAUUUAUUUAUUUAUUUAUUCAUUCAUUCAUCUAUUUAUUUUGUUGUUAAACUUCGAGACUGUCUCUUGAUCUAUAGAAUAAAGUGUUAAUAAUAACUCAAUUAUUUCGACAGCUUGUUUGUGAUACUUUAGAAACUCCACAAAAUUGUUUCAAAAUUCAAAGUUUUCAUACAUGUACAUGUUUUCUGAAAAUAAGCCCAAAAUAAUCUCAUUUCAUCACAAGAGUUUCUUUCUAAAAUAGCUAAAAUAUUCAUUUUAUUACGUCUUCAUAUUAAACACAUACGCUAUUUUUUAUGAGAAAUAACUUUAUUUUGAUGCAUUUUGAUUGCCUGGAUGCAUAUAAAUGAGUACCGGUAAAAUCAGUGUUAGAAAAUGACAAUAAUAUGUAUUUAAAAUUAUUUUUAAGAAUUGUUCAUAUUUGUUUUUUAAAUAUGUGCAUGAUAAAAUGUAGCAUUUUAUAAAUGUUGUUUAGCCAAAACAAAAUCUGAUGAGAGAAUACAGUCAUUUGUUUUGCGCCUUUAAUUCAACAGUCUGUUGAAAUGACUGUACUACAAAGCUGCAUGAAAUUAAUUUUGUUGCGUAGCUACUUCAAUUUUCUUACAAAGAGUGCAAAUUCCAUACCUAUUAGCACAUAUUUGAUGUGAUAUGUCACUAAUUAACAACAAUAUCCCAAGCAAAAAACUACAAAAUCAAUGUUAUCUCUCAAAACAUCUCUCGGUAUUCAGGGUACAUUGGCUUAUCAGCCUCCUAGGUGGCAUAGAUGUGGAAAUAACGCUUUAGGGCAGAAUGAGUUAAAAUAACUAUAGAGCAAUUACAUCAAUCUUGUGAAGUUAGCUGAAAUCAGUAUAUUAGCAUAAGCCAUACUUAGGGACAAACCACUUUUACUUUUUUUCAGAAUUUUGACUUUAAACUCUGUAUAUUUGAUCAACAUCAAGUGUAUAUGUUCGUGCACAUGUUUGGUGCGGCUUUGUUUUUGGGGGGCAAUGCCCCGAGAUUUAACAAACCGUCUUUCAAUUUUCUUGUCGAGCUUAUGACCAACCUGACAACACACAGAAAACAAGUUUCAAAGUAUUUACCAAACAUAACUUUCAUAUUGCAUUUUGCAAUUAUAUUUUUGAUCCAGAUAUGAUUAAAUAGAUCUACACAUUUUAUAUUAACAGCAGUAUGUGAAAAAAGCUGCAUUAUAGAUAUAGAUUAUAAUAGAUCUUCUUAAGCGUAAGAAUAACAAGAAAUUCGAUGAAUUGGUAUCCCCCGCCGAAAGGGUUUGUGGUGAGGAAUGGCAAAAAGAUAUAUCCGGCAAAAAGUUAAGGAUGUUAAUAAGAAGCAAAUAAUUUCAUUAGUCAAAAUCAAUUUAACAGAAAACAAAUGUUUAAUUAAGGAGUACACAAUAAAUGUAUGAUACUUUGAUCCGGACUAAAGAAUUUAUUUAGAAUGGGAUAUGCUUACUGUAAUAAGCUUAGCUUUUAAAAUUAAAUGCAGUUAAUUGAAAUGUGAGCUUGAAGUUUAACUGGAAUGAAAUAUUGUCUUUGUGUGGUUUUGCACCAGGUGUUGCUGUUUUACAUGUACAUUUGAACUUAAAAGAUCAGACUUAAGAGAACACAGAUAAGAUAUCUUGAACAUGGCUGAGGGCAAGGUUUGUGCAGUCACAACUUAACAUGUUGAAGGUUUGAACAUUUAAAAAAAAAAAAAAAAAAAAAAAGGAAUGGAAAUAUAUAUAUCUAUAUAUAGAUAUAUGUAUAUAUUUAUUUUUUUAGGGGGUGGGGGUGCAGAGGAACGGGAGAGGAAACAAAAUUUCACAUGCUGAUUAUAAAUAUUGAUUGAAAAUUAAAAAUGAAAAAAUAAAAAAAAAGGUAA